ACAAUGAAACUUCCGUAAUUCGCGGCCCGGCCAUAAAGAAGACGGGGUGGCUGAAAAGCCAAUGA
rnacentral:ncRNA from 1 species